UAUUCAAAAGAAAGACUUUUCCUAAGCUAAUGUGGGUCCUUCUGGAGUGGGGGGAGCAUUUAGAGACAAAGAUGGUAAUAUUAUAGCACUGUGUUCAGGAUCAUUGUUGUUGGGGAUUCUAUCAUUCUAUCGUUCUAUGAAGGCUGAACUCUAUGCUGUUCUACAAGGAGUGAAACAGGGAAAAAGAUAUGAAUUUGGAUAGGAUGAUUGCCUUAGAUGCUGCUAACCUUCAGUUGGUGGCAGUACAACUAGUCAAGGCAAAACUAGAAGUGAUGUUUGGAAGAAUUAGUGCUACUACCAUUCCAGUGAUGUUUGGAAGUUACAAAGAUAGGACAUCCUCGAGUCAGUUCUCACCAGAUUUGUCAACGACCUUCAACCCAGUUGGCUUGCAGGAAUUGCUGCUUGAAUAUUUCAAGAAAAUGGAUUGGGUGGAUUGAGGAAUCUCAAGGAAUGGAUCUUAGUGAGAAUUUUCCAACAGCCUCUGAAGCGGAAGAGUGAAACAGAAGAUUGUGAAGGCUUCCAUGAGUGGACUACCAGUCCUGGAUACACUGAAGUGGUUAACAGCCCCCUUCGUACACCAGUAUCAGGAAAAGGGGGCAGGGUAUACAGCAAGUCAAAGGUUCCAAAG